rnacentral:rRNA from 1 species
GAUGAACGCUGGCGGCGUGCUUAACACAUGCAAGUCGAACGAAGCACCUCUCCCGAAGAUUGACACAGCUUGCUGUAGAUUGAUUCAUUUGAGGUGACUGAGUGGCGGACGGGUGAGUAACGCGUGGGUAACCUGCCUCAUAGAGGGGGACAACAGUUGGAAACGACUGCUAAUACCGCAUAGUAAGAAGAAUUCGCAUGUUUUCUUCUUGAAAGAUUUAUCGCUAUGAGAUGGACCCGCGUCUGAUUAGCUAGUUGGUAAGGUAACGGCUUACCAAGGCGACGAUCAGUAGCCGGCUUGAGAGAGUGAACGGCCACAUUGGGACUGAGACACGGCCCAAACUCCUGCGGGAGGCAGCAGUGGGGAAUAUUGCACAAUGGGGGAAACCCUGAUGCAGCGACGCCGCGUGAGUGAAGAAGUAUUUCGGUAUGUAAAGCUCUAUCAGCAGGGAAGAUAAUGACGGUACCUGACUAAGAAGCCCCGGCUAACUACGUG